AUGCCAUUCAUUUCUAACCAUUUCACCAAUAGUAUUGUGUGUGGCCUGUGGGUCUUUUGUGGACACAAUUUAUUCCAGUUGUUUCAAGGACCGAAUUGGGAUCAGUGUUCACUGGAAAUUGGGUUGGUACUUGCUGGUGUGGUGCACCAUUUGCACAGGUUUUUACUUAAACAUGUACUAUUGGAAUCCACAUCUCUAUGGUCCAAAAGCAGGGGAUCUUUUGAUGCAUCAAAACUUUGUCUCAUGUUACAUCGAAGUAUGAGAUUGGCCAUUAUCAACCAUCAGCUGUUCUAUAUUCUAAUAGCCGUCACCUAA
rnacentral:rRNA from 1 species